GUCCACGCCGUAAACGAUGAGUGCUAGUUGUCGCGGGUAUCGACCCCUGCGGUAACGAAGCAAACGCGUUAAGCACUCCGCCUGGGGAGUACGGCCGCAAGGCUAAAACUCAAAAGGAAUUGACGGGGGCCCGCACAAGCGGUGGAGCAUGUGGUUUAAUUCGAUGCAACGCGAAGAACCUUACCCACUCUUGACAUCCUUGGAACCUUGCAGAGAUGCAGGGGGUGCCUUUCGGGGAGCCAAGAGACAGGUGCUGCAUGGCUGUCGU
rnacentral:rRNA from 1 species